CAAGCCCUACGGGGGGCAGCAGUGGGGAAUAUUGGGCAAUGGGCGCAAGCCUGACACAGCAACGCCGCGUGAAGGAAGAAGGCUUUCGGGUUGUAAACUUCUUUUCUUGGGGACGAAGAAAGUGACGGUACCCAAGGAAUAAGCCACGGCUAACUACGUGCCAGCAGCCGCGGUAAUACGUAGGUGGCAAGCGUUAUCCGGAUUUAUUGGGUGUAAAGGGCGUGUAGGCGGGAUUGCAAGUCAGAUGUGAUAA
rnacentral:rRNA from 1 species